rnacentral:rRNA from 1 species
UACGGGGGACGGAGCAGUGUUGGUGAAUUGACUGGGCGUAAAGGGCGCGUAGGCGGCCUGAUCAGUCGGGUGUGAAAGCCCGGGGCUCAACCUGGGAAUUGCAUCCGAUACUGAUUGGCUAGAGUAUGAGAGAGGGAGGUAGAAUUCCACGUGUAGCGGUGAAAUGCGUAGAUAUGUGGAGGAAUACCGGUGGCGAAGGCGGCCUCCUGGCUUAAUACUGACGCUGGAGGUGCGAAAGCGUGGGGAUCAAACAGG